CGCGUAGGCGGGAUAUUAAGUCAGGUGUGAAAACUCAGGGCUCAACCUUGGGACUGCACUUGAAACUGAUAUUCUUGAGGACAGGAGAGGAAAGUGGAAUUCCUAGUGUAGCGGUGAAAUGCGUAGAUAUUAGGAGGAACACCAGUGGCGAAGGCGACUUUCUGGACUGUAACUGACGCUGAGGCGCGAAAGCGUGGGGAGUGAACGG
rnacentral:rRNA from 1 species